GGGGUUGCAGGUGGAAGGUGGGCCGCCUCUGCUCAGAUGCGCUGGGGGAGCCGCAACCUCGCCUCCCUGUGGCCCCCUCCCGUCCGAUUCCCCACUUGGUUCCCUGUUCUCAGGGCCAGGACCCCAGCAAUGACAGUGCCCCCUGUUCUCUAGGAUUCCCGGGCGGCUGAAUGACAGGAGGACCCCUCUGGGAGAACUGAACUGGAUUUUCACAGCCAUCACGGACACCAUCGCCUGGAAUGUGCUUCCCCGAGAUCUCUUCCAGAAACUGUUCCGGCAGGACCUGCUGGUGGCAAGUCUGUUCCGGAAUUUUCUGUUGGCAGAAAGGAUCAUGAGGUCGUAUAACUGCACCCCGGUCAGCAGCCCCCGGCUCCCCCCGACGUACAUGCACGCCAUGUGGCAAGCCUGGGACCUGGCCGUGGACAUCUGUCUGUCUCAGCUGCCGACCAUCAUUGAGGAAGGCACUGCGUUCAGGGUGAGUCCUGGGCGCCGCGCGGGCCUGCCGCUCUGGGCCCCGGGGGCACAGCUCCCAGUCUGGGGGCACCCUGGGGCUGGGCUGUCAGAGAUUUUGUCUGUGUCCCUGGUGAAAUGAAGCCAAGCAGAGCUGCAAAGAUGGGCCAGCUGGGCCUUGAAGCCGGGCUUCGAGAUGUCUCCUCAGUGCAGCCUGCCUGCUCUGCGGUCGUCUGCGUUUAGCCGUGAGUGAGUUUCCCGCGGGGCCGUGGACGCCCCUGGCAGCCUCUGGGGUGUGAACGGGGCCCCACAGGGGAGUUCCAGUCCUGGCCUCGUGUGGGCAGAGCAGUGCAGUGACCGCAGGGCCUGGGUCUCGUCUUCCUCGUGGUACCUGCAGCGGCUCACCCAGAGCCCUCGCCCCUCCCCCAGGUUCUUUCAUUUGUUGGGCACGUGUAGCCCAGUGUCCCCAGGAACCCACAGGAAGGAGAAGGCACACGCUGGACAUCAGCAGAGGGUGUGACGGGCACCGAGGGCCGGCCAGGAGGAGGCGGGCAGCCUGGACAGAGGCUGAGAGGCAGAGGCACUGUAGCGGGGGGCGGCUCCAAGCUGUCCACUGAGGCUGAGAUACCUAAGAGGCGGGGCUGGACCCCAGGGCCUCUCCCCCACACACUCACUGCCAGCCCCACCCAAGAGACUGCCUGCGGGGCUGUGGCCGCCCUGGUCGAGCUAGGGACGUCCCUGUGCUCCAAUGUCCUCACCCUGGGGGAGGGGCGUCGUGAGGACAGGCUUCUCUCAUCGUCUUGGGCGUCUGUGGAGGACAGGGUGUGGCCACACAGGGUGCUGGCCCUGCCCGUGGGUGCCCACCUCCGCUCAGCCAGAGUGCAGCUUGCAGGCCCACCCUCCCCUUGGAAGGGCAGAGCCAGGCCGCUGCUCCGGGCCUGGUUUGGUGGUGCCCUUCCUAGAGGGGGGCUGUCUGCUGCCGUGUCAGGUCCUGCGGUUUCUGUCGUCGGAAAGCCUGUUCCAGGGCCAGCGGCCUCUCCGGAGCGUGCCGUCCAUUUCUGUUCUGCUAGGGCCAGUGUUUGGGAAUAACCUCACCAAACCGGGGCUCAGCGCGGGGCAGGGUGGUGCGGGAGGAACAACUGACAGGCGCAGGCUGCCUUUCGUUUUUUUACUUUGAAACCAUGUACCAAGCCUGCAUGAAGCGGGAGCCCACAGCCGGGCCAGGGUUCUGAGCGCACGCACUCAGCCAGCAGCCGAGUGGAGCAGCAGGAACUGAGCAGCCCGGAGCCCUGCUCGCUCGCUCUGGUGCUGCCGCUGCCCUGCUUCUGCACGCGGUGCCGGCCGGCGCUGGAGCGGGCUCGUCCACCAGGCAGGCUGCCCUCGUCUGAGGGCGCCGGAAUUCACUGGUCGGGGCUGUGGGCAGCAGCGCUCCGUUUCCGGGGUGCAGCCGUCGCGGAGAGUGUGGCCGGGCCAGGCCCAGGCAGAUGGAGCGCUCGGUCUCAGGGCUCCUGUCGGAGAGGUUGGCGUCUUGUUCGCGGUGGGUUUCGCCUCGGUUUUCCUCCUUCUGUGCACGCCUUGGAGGAGUAUUUACCUUCCCUGCCUCGGAUUUCUGCUCCCAGCCCCCACCCUCGUGCCAGCAAACGCCUCCCUCCUGUCUCACUGCCGAGUCUCACGGGAGGCCUGGAGAACGCAGGUGCACGCUUCUGCUGGAGCACCCAUAGGCGUGAAGCUCGGGGCUGUAGGGUGCGCACCACACACACAUGCGCACACGCACACGCAUGCGCACACUCACAUGCACACAUGCACACACACGCGUGCGCAUGCCCCACCCUCCACAGACUGUGUGAGCUGUGUUGCUGUUCAGUGACGUAGCUGCUGUGGAGUGGCGUGGAGAGGCGUUCACAUACACACACACGCAUGCACACACACACGCAUGCACACACACAUGUCCCACCCUCCACAGACUGUGAGCUGCGUGGCUGUGGUGGAGCGGCAUGGGGAGGCGUUCACAUACACACACACACGCACACACACGCAUGCACACACACAUGUCCCACCCUCCACAGACUGUGAGCUGCGUGGCUGUGGUGGAGCAGUGUGGGGGGGCGUUUCCUGGAGACGUCUGCGGUGUUCCCUGAUGGUUGGCAGAGUGUCACUUCCUGUUCUGCAGGCCACACACGUGUCUUCUUUGGGACACCGUCGGGUGUCUCGGCUGCUGCUCCCUGCUCUGCAGGCGUCUGUCCGCCCAGCUGUGCAGAGCCCUGGGUGUGGAUGCUGAGUGACUUUCUUCACUCCGAGAGCCUCAAGCUCACUUUCCUGGUGUUUUCUUCUUGGUGAACAAAAAUUCCUUAGUUUAACAAAAUCCAGUUUUUGUCUUUCCCGGCCAGGGCUCCCGGCCUCCCGCGGUUGGAAAUCUGCUUCCCCUGAGAUGAAGGUUUGGUCGUGUGCCCCCGGGCAGGCACAGCGACACUGCCUCCAGGCACCCCCAGCCUGCCCGGGGCUGUCCGCGUGGAACCAGCGCCGUCCACGGGUGGGCUCUUUCCUGGUCCCAUUGCGCCCCGCCCAGUGCCCCAGUCUUCAUCCCACGUGUCGCAGGCAGGCGUCCGCGUCUCCAGCUUUGUUCUUUCCCAACGUCGCCCAGGUCCCCUUGGCCCUUUGCGUUCCCGGUGGAUUUGUCGUGUGUUCGUGUCCACAGAGGACCUGCCAGGACCUGGCUGAGACUGGGGUGGGGAGUAGCUUGGCCCAGGGGAAGUCGCCGUCACCUCGGCUGUAGGUGGUGUCUUGAGAUCCUGUUUCCUGUUUUCUUUCUGUGUUUUUGUAAGUUAUUCUCUGUAGCAGCUUCACUAAAUCCAGUCUUUGUUUCAGUAGUUUGCCGGUUCUCUGCCUGGCUUCAUCUUAAAACCUCAUCAUCAGAAUCACAGAAAGAUCCAGAAUAUAAGUCGCUGUCAGAUAGGUGUGGGAAGUGACAGCGUUCAGUUAACCCCACGAAAUUCGUGUUCACCGACUCGGGCGUCCUCUGCCGGAGGUGUCGAGUCUGUUCGCCGCGUGGGUCUCGGCCUGCCCAAGGUCAUUUGUCUUCGUUUCUGCGGACACUCUGGAGGUGCCGGGAGGAGGAUCCCGACGCGGCAGGGAAGCUUGGGGCAUUGGGCUUUCUCUGGGGAAGCAGAGCUGUCACGGGGAGAGUGGGUGUGCCGUGGACCACGCAGCCGUGGACGGCUGUCCCCUCAGAGCCACAGAGCUGUCGCAGGUGGCCAGUGUCUCACAGCCCAGCUCAGGGACAGCAGAUGAGAGAAGAGGCGGGGCUGUGCGAUUCUCUGACCCUGCUGUGUGUGUCCGUGCUGCCCGAUCCCCUGCCCGUCUAGCGCUUGGGCUGACCACACAGCAGAGGCCUGCUUCUCAACCACGGGGGCCGACGGCGUGCAGCGUGGGAGGCGGCUCCUCCACCACGGGGGCCUACGGCAUGCAGUGUGGGAGGCGGAUCCGGGGUGCCCAGGCAGGUCACGCAGGUGCUGAGCACUCAGGGGCUGGUGCCCCCCGCCCGCCAGCCCUGCCCGCCAGCCCCGCCCGGCGCAGGGAGUCUGACCAGCCUCUCAGCACGGCUGGGGCAGUUCAGGUGCAAAGGUCGGGGUUUUCUGUCUUUUUAAAAGAUUUUUUUAUAACUGAACAUUCUUUUAAAAAAAAGAUUUAUUUAUUUAUCUGUGUAUUUAACAGAGAAGGGGGAGAGACAGAGAGAAAGAGGUCUUUCAUCCACUGCCUCACUGCCCAAAUGGCCACAGCCGCCUAAGCUGGGCCAGGCUGAAGCCAGGAGCCAGGUCUCCCACGUGGCGCCAGGCCCAGGCACGUGGGCCAUAAUCGCCUGUUCCCCGUGCAUUAGCAGGGAGCGGGAGCAGAAGCGGAGCAGCUAGCACCAGAGCUGGGGCUCCGGUGUGGGAUGCCCGCAUUGCCAGUCCCGCACCACCUGGCCCUGCGUCCGUCUCUCUGUGUGAAAUGGACGACACGUGACCAUCCGCGAGACAGAAACUGAUUGAGCGAGCAGGGAUUGUUGCUCCCCCAUUCGUGGAGGAACGACACAGGACCCUGCGCUGUUCUUUUGUCUGCUCGGCCCUUCCCGGGUUUGCUGCUGGUUCUUCCCGGGUUGGCUGCCGAUCCUUCCACCUCCGUGGAAGGGCGGUUCCCCCUGCCACUUUCCCCACUUCCGCGGGGGAGCGGCACACCGCCGGCCGGCUCUCUCGGGGGCUGCACAGGUAUUCCUUCAGAUAGAUGUUCCCCUUAGAUGUUCCUGGUGCAUGUUGUCUCUCUCCUCCUUUAUAGUCCUCUUCCACCAAUCCCAACUCUGCUACCCACACACCGAGUACGCUGCUCUCCUCCAAUCAGGAGCAGGAUCAGCUCCUGCAGGUUAUUGGUUGAACUGGAGGCAGCUGUGUAGAAGUUGUUUACUCCUCUCCCAGCGCCAUAUUGUGGGAGAGCAGAUGCAUAGAAUAAGUCUUUUUUUUUUUUUUUUUUUUUUUGGACAGGCAGAGUGGACAGUGAGAGAGAGAGAGACAGAGAGAAAGGUCUUCCUUUGCCGUUGGUUCACCCUCCAAUGGCCGCCGCAGCCGGCGCGCUGCGGCCGGUGCACCGCGCUGAUCCGAUGGCAGGAGCCAGGAGCCAGGUGCUUUUCCUGGUCUCCCAUGGGGUGCAGGGCCCAAGCACUUGGGCCAUCCUCCACUGCACUCCCUGGCCACAGCAGAGAGCUGGCCUGGAAGAGGGGCAACCAGGACAGAAUCCGGCGCCCCUACUGGGACUAGAACCCGGUGUGCCGGCACCGCUAGGCGGAGGAUUAGCCUCGUGAGCCGC